ensembl:lncRNA
AUGAGGAGGUCACAGAGGUCCUUGUCAAGCCGUCUGUCUCAUCGAGGAGAGGCAGCCAAUCAGAGGCCUCAAGGGAGCCGAACUCACCAAUCACACCUGAGAGAUAUGCAGCAGAAGCCGUGAUGACUGAGGUUCGAACCCCUAUACAGACACCUGGAGCAUCUUGGGCUUCUCAAAAUCAAUGCCCACUAUUGCUAUAAAAGAGCUGAGAGCCUCGUGGAGUUCACAGAGUGGAAAGGAACGUGGUUGGAACGGCAGCGACUCAGAAAACUGGAGAGAAAGACGUGGAUCUGUGUCUUCAUCACCACCUCCAUCAUCAUCCUCCUCAUCCUCGGUCCCUCCCUACAAUCUAUCGGCGUCCUGAACAUGCAAGUGUGCUGCUGAACUCAACGCUCUGCUCUUUAAUUGCAGAGGGUGUGACAUCUUGUUUAAUUAGCAGUAACGAUUAAAUUAGUUAAGCUGCUCAUUACACAAUUUAAUUCUCCCAGCAGCUUUAUUUCAAGGUGAAACAAUCACUUCGCUGAAACGUGUCGAGAUUCAGGACCUACUGGGAAAUUAAAAUAUUAUGAGCUUCUCAUUUCUGACCUUUGACCAGCAGCAGAAGGAUACCUGACCAGCUCUGAGGGCGGGGCAUCCAGACAUUUGAUUGGCAGGUCUCCCAGUCCCACCCACACAGACGAUCUUAUUGAGUUACUGGCACAGCUGGGUCUAGAGAAAUACAUCGAUAUUUUCCAACAACAGGAGGUACACACACAACCCACACACACGUCCCAGACGGCACACCCACAGACGCCCACGGCGCUAUUAUCUGAUGCAUAUCACACACAAACCUGGCUCUAAGGAGUCAGAGCGCACAGAUUUAUUUUAGUCUGCCUGGAAACAAAGUCAUGUUUAAAGAUUUGAGAUUGAACUAGUCAGUGGGUUUACCAAAGUUCAGAUCUUUAAAUGAUACUCUGAGUUUUGUUUGAGCUGGUUAGUAGCAAGUAAACUAGAUUCCCAUGAGAAGAACUGUAUAUUCUGCAGUUUUCUGUCAGUGAAAUUAGUUUUGACAAUGCAAAAAAUGAUGCAAAAUCUUGGUUAAAG